CUUAUACUCCCUCCGUUUGGAAUUACUUGUAGCCAAAAUGAAAAGAAAUGGAUGUAUCUAGAUCUAAAUACAUCUAGAUACAUUUGUUUCUAUGACAAGUAAUUCCGGACGGAGGGAGUACUGA
rfam:Hordeum vulgare subsp. vulgare, WGS project CAJW01000000 data, contig: morex_contig_45880